rnacentral:rRNA from 1 species
AUUGAACGCUGGCGGCAGGCCUAACACAUGCAAGUCGAGCGGAUGAAGGGAGCUUGCUCCUGGAUUCAGCGGCGGACGGGUGAGUAAUGCCUAGGAAUCUGCCUGGUAGUGGGGGAUAACGUCCGGAAACGGGCGCUAAUACCGCAUCCGUCCUGAGGGAGAAAGUGGGGGAUCUUCGGACCUCACGCUAUCAGAUGAGCCUAGGUCGGAUUAGCUAGUUGGUGGGGUAAAGGCCUACCAAGGCGACGAUCCGUAACUGGUCUGAGAGGAUGAUCAGUCACACUGGAACUGAGACACGGUCCAGACUCCUACGGGAGGCAGCAGUGGGGAAUAUUGGACAAUGGGCGAAAGCCUGAUCCAGCCAUGCCGCGUGUGUGAAGAAGGUCUUCGGAUUGUAAAGCACUUUAAGUUGGGAGGAAGGGCAGUAAGUUAAUACCUUGCUGCUUUGACGUUACCAACAGAAUAAGCACCGGCUAACUUCGUG